GGCUGUGUGGUGUAGUGGUGAGGCGCAGGGCUUGUAACCGAAAGGUUGCUGGUUCGAUACCCCGUUAGGGCCG